CGAACGAGUGCUCGUUGAUGAUCGGUGCUUGCACCGAGAUUCAACAUGGCACGAGUGGCGGACGGGUGAGUAACACGUGGGUAACCUGCCCUCAAGUGGGGGAUAACAUUUGGAAACAGAUGCUAAUACCGCAUAGAUCCAAGAACCGCAUGGUUCUUGGCUGAAAGAUGGCGUAAGCUAUCGCUUUUGGAUGGACCCGCGGCGUAUUAGCUAGUUGGUGAGGUAAUGGCUCACCAAGGCGAUGAUACGUAGCCGAACUGAGAGGUUGAUCGGCCACAUUGGGACUGAGACACGGCCCAAACUCCUACGGGAGGCAGCAGUAGGGAAUCUUCCACAAUGGACGCAAGUCUGAUGGAGCAACGCCGCGUGAGUGAAGAAGGCUUUCGGGUCGUAAAACUCUGUUGUUGGAGAAGAAUGGUCGGCAGAGUAACUGUUGUCGGCGUGACGGUAUCCAACCAGAAAGCCACGGCUAACUACGUGCCAGCAGCCGCGGUAAUACGUAGGUGGCAAGCGUUAUCCGGAUUUAUUGGGCGUAAAGCGAGCGCAGGCGGUUUUUUAAGUCUGAUGUGAAAGCCCUCGGCUUAACCGAGGAAGCGCAUCGGAAACUGGGAAACUUGAGUGCAGAAGAGGACAGUGGAACUCCAUGUGUAGCGGUGAAAUGCGUAGAUAUAUGGAAGAACACCAGUGGCGAAGGCGGCUGUCUGGUCUGUAACUGACGCUGAGGCUCGAAAGCAUGGGUAGCGAACAGGAUUAGAUACCCUGGUAGUCCAUGCCGUAAACGAUGAAUGCUAGGUGUUGGAGGGUUUCCGCCCUUC
rnacentral:rRNA from 1 species